AGAGUUUGAUUCUGGCCCAGGAUGAACGCUGGCGGUAUGCUUAACACAUGCAAGUUGAACGAAGAUAAUAGUUCAUUGAAUUAUAAUACUUAGUAGCGGACGGGUGAGUAACGCGUAAGAAUCUACCUUUAGGAAAAGGAUAACAACUGGAAACGGUUGCUAAUACUUUAUAUGCUGAGAAGUUAAAUAGGUUACUGCCUAAAGAUGAGCUUGCGUCUGAUUAGCUAGUUGGUAAGGUAAAGGCUUACCAAGGCAAUUAUCAGUAGUUGGUCUGAGAGGAUGAGCAGCCACACUGGGACUGAGACACGGCCCAGACUCCUACGGGAGGCAGCAGUGAGGAAUUUUUCGCAAUGGGCGCAAGCCUGACGAAGCAAUACCGCGUGAAGGAUGAAGGCCUGCGGGUUGUAAACUUCUUUUAUUAGAGAAGAUAAUGACGGUAUCUAAUGAAUAAGCAUCGGCUAAAUAUGUGCCAGCAGCCGCGGUAAGACAUAUGAUGCAAGCGUUAUCCGGAAUGAUUGGGCGUAAAGUGUCUGUAGGUUGUUUAAAAAGUCAACUGUCAAAAACUAAAGCUCAACUUUAGGCAGGCAGUUGAAACUUUUAGGCUAGAGUAUGGCAGAGGUAGAGGGAAUUACUGGUGUAACGGUGAAAUGUGCAGAUAUCAGUAAGAACACCAAUGGCGAAAGCACUCUACUGGACCAAAACUGACACUCAGAGACGAAAACUAGGGGAGCGAAUAGGAUUAGAUACCCUAGUAGUCCUAGCUGUAAACGAUGGAAACUAAAUAUUGCGU
rnacentral:rRNA from 1 species